AGAGUUUGAUCCUGGCUCAGAAUGAACGCUAGCGGCGUGCUUAACACAUGCAAGUCGUACGAGAACUCUUUAGCUUGCUAAAGAUAGUAAAGUGGCGCACGGGUGAGCAACGCGUGGGUAAUCUACCUCUGAAUUUGGGAUAACUCCGCGAAAGCGGGGCUAAUACCGGAUAAUAUUUCAGAAUCUUCGGAUAUUGAAAUCAAAAGUGGCCUCUACAUGUAAGCUACUGUUUGGAGAUGAGCCCGCGUACCAUUAGCUUGUUGGUGGGGUAAUGGCCUACCAAGGCUACGAUGGUUAGCUGGUCUGAGAGGAUGAUCAGCCACACUGGAACUGACACACGGUCCAGACUCCUACGGGAGGCAGCAGUGAGGAAUUUUGCGCAAUGGGGGAAACCCUGACGCAGCAACGCCGCGUGAGUGAUGAAGGCUUUCGGGUCGUAAAGCUCUGUCAAGUGGGAAGAAUAUAAUAAAUGUUAAUAUCAUUUUUUACUGACGGUACCACUAAAGGAAGCACCGGCUAACUCCGUGCCAGCAGCCGCGGUAAUACGGGGGGUGCAAGCGUUAUUCGGAAUUAUUGGGCGUAAAGGGCGCGUAGGCGGUCUUUUAAGUCAGAUGUGAAAGCCCGGGGCUUAACCCCGGAAGUGCAUUUGAAACUGAAAGACUUGAGUAUGGGAGAGGGAAGUGGAAUUCCUGGUGUAGAGUGAAAUUCGUAGAUAUCACGAGAACACCGGUGGCGAAAGCGACUUCCUGGACCAAUACUGACGCUGAGCGCGAAGGCGUGGGAGCAAAC
rnacentral:rRNA from 1 species